UGCGUAGGGGGCAAGCGUUGUCCGGAAUUAUUGGGCGUAAAGAGCGUGUAGGCGGUCCGGUAAGUCAGCUGUGAAAGUCAAGGGCUCAACCCUUGAAAGCCGGUUGAUACUGUCGGGCUAGAGUCCGGAAGAGGCGAGUGGAAUUCCCGGUGUAGCGGUGAAAUGCGCAGAUAUCGGGAGGAACACCAAUGGCGAAGGCAGCUCGCUGGGACGGUACUGACGCUGAGACGCGAAAGCGUGGGGAGCAAACAGG
rnacentral:rRNA from 1 species